UUUAACUUAUUUCAAGAUUCUCUGAUUUUAGGAUCUCUCACUCUGAAUUCUUAAUCUUUUUCUUGAAAAGAUGAACUGAUAUUUUUAUGUCUAUGUCUUUGUUUGCAUCCACUUAAGCUGAUUUUUUGGCUCUCACUCUUUCAGCGUGCAGAAUCAAGUCCUUCGAGUAAGACGGUUCAAACGUCGAUUGAUGAUUCAGAUAACAUCAGCGAUUAUGAAAAUUUAGAGGUGACAUUGGCACCGAAAGAAAAGGGUAAAUCGCCCAAGGAUCUCUGUUUUACGGACGAGGCGACAGAACUGAGCACUGUCUAAGUUCCUCCUGAAUGGCUUUCAAAAUUCCAACUACCAUCGAGGUUCUCUGCCUCAGUAGAGUUGGAUACCCAGAAGGGAUAUCUCAUCAGCAGCCUAAAGUACUCUGAGCAACAGUGGAUUGCAAAAAAAAAAAUUAUUGCAGAGUAUCCUUGUAUGGUUAGCAGGAUACUAGACUAAGUUGACUUGGAAACUGAAUGGAUUGGUGUGGUCUAAAAAUCUAUUGCU